UAAUACGUACCGUCCAAACGUUAUUCGGAAUUACUGGGCUUAAAGGGUACGUAGGCGGCGCUGUUAGUCGGGUGUGAAAGCCCUCGGCUCAACCGAGGAAUUGCGCCCGAUACUGCAGUGCUUGAGGGAGACAGAGGUAAGCGGAACUGAUGGUGGAGCGGUGAAAUGCGUUGAUAUCAUCAGGAACACCAGUGGCGAAAGCGGCUUACUGGGUCUCUUCUGACGCUGAGGUACGAAAGCUAGGGGAGCGAAGGGGAUUAGAUACCCCCGUAGUCCUAGCCGUAAACUCUGAGCACUUGAUCGUGGGCCCCCCCAUAGGCUCUCGGUCGUAGCGAAAGUGUUAAGUGCUCCGCCUGGGGAGUAUGGUCGCAAGGCUGAAACUUAAAUGAAUUGACGG
rnacentral:rRNA from 1 species